ACGGUCGGUGCCAACCUCGCGGCCUGAGGCGGCGACUCCGAGACCCCUCUCCGAGACUGGUAUCACCUCCGGCCCCGCUGCCACCCUCUACGCGGAGCUGGCCAGGCUUAGGGUGCGGGGGCGUCUGCGGGCGAGGCCCAGCUCACCCCGAACUCGGCUUGUGGGAGUUAAAGCAGGGGCCUGCUCACACGCCCAGCCCACCCCGUGUCCAUCCCUCCGCCCUGGCUGCAGGCGUCCAGCUUGGUAUCCUCUCUCAAAGGGGGAUUGUUUCCGGGCUGGGCUGUUGGGGAGCGGUUUCUGGGACCAAGAGACAAAGCUGGAGAGAAAGAAGGCCUUAGACUCCUGCUGGUCCUCACCAACACCUGAGGUCAGGACCCUGGCGGUUGUGUCCUGGAUCUCUAGAGUGCUUUUCCAUUUCCAGAAGCCCUCUCCUGUUAUACAGAAGACUUGCCUUCUUUCCUUCUUUUUCAUUCUAUCAGUAAUAAAAUCUAUCUAAAUUUCA